CUUGUAUUCCCAAUGAAAUAAGAAGCAGCUGAGAAUUUAGAAAGAUGAAUUGGUACUGGAGAUGUGAGGAAAGAGAAGUUUUGAAACAGUUGCCUAGUAGGGAGUGAAAGAGAACUGAUUUGCGCUGAGUUUUCUAAUAAGUACUAGCAAGUUCACUCAGGCUUAUGAUUAUGAAUUUAAAAGAGACAAAUUAACAAAGUUGCUGGGUUUUCUCCAGCCAUGGUUAGCUGCCUGGUGCGGGUGCUGAGUUGACCUAGGGUUCUGUUUCGCUGGGGUUGGCAUUUUGUACAGCCAAUACAACCGAGAAUGAUGGCCGUCGGAGCUCGGAGUGAAUACAGCGAAUGAUUCCAAUAGGAACCACGGACUCUGAUCUGGGUAAACAGGGAACAGCAUUAGACUCUGGGACCAUCUCAUAAUGUUUGUGUACAUUCCUGUUGUCUUCUACCUCCCAUCCACCGUGUCUCUCUACUGCCUAUAACCAGCCUACAUAAGAUAAAUGUGAUUGGAGAGGAAACUAUCCCCAAUUCUCUCUUCAUUGACAUUUGGGGCUGUACCAGUUUACAUUUUCACCAACAUUCCCACCAUUGUGGUGGCCAGCAACUGAGGAGGCUGAGAUAAGUGGAUUCCCUGAGCCCAGGAGGUGGAGGUUGCAGUUAGCCAAGAUUGCGUCACUGCACUCCAGCCUAGGCAACAGAGUGAGACCUGUCUCAAAAAAAAAAAAAAAAAAGAGUUAAAUUAAAAAAUAAAUAAAAGUCAUUUGACCAUAUAUGUGAUUGUUUAUUUCUUGCUCUCCAUCUAUUCUAUUUACCUAUAUAUCUAUCUUUAUUCCAGUACAAUGCUGUUUUUAUUAUUGUAACUUUGAAAAAAAAUUUUAAAAUCUAGAAGUGUGAUCUUUAACUUUUGUUCUUUUUCAAAAUUGUUU
rnacentral:lncRNA from 1 species